rnacentral:rRNA from 1 species
GACGAACGCUGGCGGCGUGCCUAAUACAUGCAAGUAGAACGCUGAAGGAGGAGCUUGCUUCUCUGGAUGAGUUGCGAACGGGUGAGUAACGCGUAGGUAACCUGCCUGGUAGCGGGGGAUAACUAUUGGAAACGAUAGCUAAUACCGCAUAAGAGUAGAUGUCGCAUGACAUUUGCUUAAAAGGUGCAAUUGCAUCACUACCAGAUGGACCUGCGUUGUAUUAGCUAGUUGGUGGGGUAACGGCUCACCAAGGCGACGAUACAUAGCCGACCUGAGAGGGUGAUCGGCCACACUGGGACUGAGACACGGCCCAGACUCCUACGGGAGGCAGCAGUAGGGAAUCUUCGGCAAUGGACGGAAGUCUGACCGAGCAACGCCGCGUGAGUGAAGAAGGUUUUCGGAUCGUAAAGCUCUGUUGUAAGAGAAGAAUGAGUGUGAGAGUGGAAAGUUCACACUGUGAC